GGGGAAUCAUUAUUACGGGAAGGCACAUUUUCUGUAGCUUUGCCCGAAGAGAGAAGCUGUUUUCUCUCAGAGAUGGAACAUGUUAGCUGGUUGCCAUGAUGUCUUCAUUUGUCCAUCGCUGCCCCUCUGUGAGCAGGCAGCCAUCAGGACAGAGAGUGGCAUGCUGGACAGGCCGACUCUGACAAGGAGCAAGAUCUCCACGCCACUGCACACCAGCCUGAGAGACAGAGCACGACUCCAUCUCAAAGAAAAAACAAAAAAGAAAAGAAAAUGCAGAUCUCUGGGCCCCACCCAUACCUGGGGACUCAGAAUCACCAGGGCAAGGUCUCAUCCUUAUGCGUCACAUGUGUUUUGAGAUCUCAUUAUCUCCUGGGAGAGGUUCUUGCACUGUUGCCCAGGCUGGAGUGCAGUGGUGUGAUCAUAGCUCACUGCAGUCUUGAACUCAUGGACUCAAGAGAUCCUUCCACCUCAGCUUCCCGAGCAGCUGGGACUACAGCCUGUCCCUCUACUUUGGGAGAAUUACGUUCCUUGCCCUGAGGAUGAUUAACAAGGAUAUCCCCGAUUUCAUCUCUGCUUUCUAUUCCCAGCUACGCAGACAUUGUGCUGGAAUUUCUAUGCUGAAGAAUUAAGCUAUAUUGUUUGGCAAAAGAAGAAACUGAAAACAAGAAAUCCAUCCCUUUCUACCACUGCUAUUAUAUCAUCCACGUUUAAAAAAAAAAAGUUUGUAUGUAGUUAUAUACAACAAGAAGUUUCUGCUUCGGAUUUCUCUGUUGGGCAGGGUGGUGGGAGGGAUGGGGUCUCGAGUUUUUCCCAAGUGAAAUCCUGGUAAUCCUGCCUGAGAGAAUUCUUAUGAAAGUUUCACUCACAAUGAAAGCAAACUUCCAAGGUGGAGGAGGGUGAAGCCGGCUGGCUGGACCGAUCACUGAGGCCCAGUGCUGCGAAGAGAGUUCAGCACAUUAUUCCAACCCUUUCUGGGAGCACGGCCCAGGCUUGGCACCGGUUUGGUGUUCUCGAGUGUGAUGCAUUCUGAAAACCUGGCUGCGUCCGUGGCCCAGCUCCAGUUCUGCAGGGCUCAGCAUCAGGCUGCCCCCUCUCCUAAGGUGUUUUGCAGGAUCGCCCCUCAGAGCUAAACACCCACCAGCUGACCACCUGUUCCAGGUGAUGGGAUUUUGGCUCAGAUCAGCCUGGAUCAGGGUGGACCUCUACAAGCUGGCUUGCAUGAAUGUAAAUGUCUGCUGCCCAUCUUGAAGACCAUCGGCAAGCUUUGGUGGGUUCAUAUUCAGUGGCAUUAGGGAUUAAGGCAAACUUAAAAUGAUUCUGAGUGUAAACAGAUACAGAUAUAAACUUUUGGGGGAACAAUUUGGUAAUAGCUAAUAACAAUCGUUAAAAUGUUUAUAUCCUUUGACCUGAUAGUGUUAGUUCUAAGAAUUUACCUUAAGAAAAUAAAUAAAUUUAUAUCCCAUGAUAUCUUCAUUUUAGUGUUGCUUGUAAUUGCAAAAAGAAAAAAAAAGAAAAGAGAAAAAACCCCAUUUACUGAAUAAUUGGAGGGUGGUUAAAUACAUUACGGUAAAUUCAUCUGAUAGAAUAAAAUGCUCUACAGUUAAAGACCUAGGAAACACAAUAGACUUUGCAAAACCAUAUAAAAACAAUAUAUAUGGUAUCAUCAUGAUUUUUGUAAAAAAAUACAUGUGAAUUAAAAGACUAAUGAACAUAUAACUAUAUACAAACAGAUUUCGGAGUGGUGAGAUUCUAGGUGAUUUUAAUGCCUCUCUGCAUAUUCCAAUUUUUCCAUAACGAACACACAUACCACUGAUAUUCAAUAAAAAAAGGUUAUUUUAAAUUUUUUUCUACCCAUAUGCUGACUGUAAGUCCUCAUUCCAAAGGAAGAAUAAGACCUUUCGGGGGCUACCACUGACCUGCCCAAGUUGGAAUUAGUAAAAAGAGAACUGGGGAACCGGAAGAGAAGAGUUAGAGUGGCUGGCAGACGCUGAGGUGUGAGGGGUUUUCAGUGCAGCAGUUUUGGGGGUUGGGGAGAGUAGAGAAAGGAGCUGAGUUCAAGUUCUCUGUGGGGAAGUGGGACCACAUCCUGCCUGGGAGAAGGGAAGGUCAGUGAGUUCUGUCCGGGGCUGCUGUCCUCUGGUACAGGGAUAUUAUGAGCACGGCAAAAACUCAAUAACUGUACGUAUUAAGGAGUGAGGUCAGCCAGCACCUGGAGGGAUGCUGAAGAAGGCAGGCCCGUGCAGACCCACGAUUGCUUUACAGUUACUUGGUGCCCCUGAAGUGCCUGCUGCCCAGGGAGAUGCACUGUUUCCAGUCCCCAAUCCACUGAACGAAGAUGGAACAAUGGUGGACCCAUCGUGAACUGGUCAGUGUUGUCUACCAGAGAUCCUGCUGUCCCUCCCGAGACUCUCCUCACAAGGUCGGCCCAAUUUGUGUGUGCCUAUGAGCCAGGAAGAGCAUACCAGUGACAAUAUUUGUAUAGCAUUUGAUAGUUCACAAACAAUUCUCAUGAAAGUUCAGUCAAGGAGCUCUAGACAUUCUUUUCAGGAAACACAUAUUUACAAUCUGCAAAUAGCCACACUGAGGGUGUUCUUUUUCCUCAGCUGUAAUUUCAUCUGUGACUCUCUCUGCUGCUUUCUGGUGGCUGGAACUGUAUUCAGCAAGGGCAGAUAGGUGGCUGUUCUUCAAGCUUUUACGAAAUGGGGGAAAACCAUCGGUAUUAGUCAGUGAGGAAUAAACUAGCCCUUUCUUUUUGUUUUUCUUUUGCUUUUUUAGACACAGGCUGGAGUACAGUGGGGUGAUCCUAGUUCACUGCAGCCUCAACCUCCUGGGCUCAAGUGAUCCUCCCACCUCGACCUCCAGAGUAUCUGGGACUACAGGCAUGUGCCACCAAGCCCAGCUAAUUUUUUUUUAUUGUUUUGUAGAGACAGGGUCUUGCUAUGUUGCCCAGGCUGGUCUCAAACUCCUGGCCUCAAGCAAUUCUCCUGCCUUGGCCUCCCAAAGUGCUGGGAUUACAGGUGUGAGCCACCACACCUGGUCAUUACCCCUUUCUAAUGAAUCUAGGAAGUGCUAACAAAUAAUCGGCACCAGUGAAUAACUCCUUAGAUUCAGUGAGGUUAACACUGGGGACCCAGAAGAGAGAACCACCGGCUUAGUGUAGACCUGCCAAAGGCAGGUGUUAAAAUGGAUGAUCCUCUUGCAGACUCAGUUCCUGGCUGGUCAUCACCUGGUGAAUUUUUCAUUUUAAAAUCAAUAUUUCAAGAAAGCACAUAGCUUAGAGUCAUGUAGUUUAACCUCCAACCCAACAUGGCAUCCCUAAGGACCACCACCCAGCCUCUGUUGAAUACUCCUAUGAUGGGGACCUCGCUACCUCUCCAGGAGAACAUUCAAUUUCUGUAUAGAUGUGGUUAGAAAGCAUGUCCACAAGACUGCAGUGUGGAAGUCAGAAGAGAACAUUGGGUUGAAGGGGAUGUGACUCAGUUUCAAAGGUGCAGGGUGUGUAGCUAUAAGGGUACCACAUAGGAUUACUAUAUCCAAUUUUUUAGAAUUAUUUGUUAUUUUUCUUCUGAUGAACAAAUACUAUGUAGAGGAUAUGGAAAUGCUUGUGUAGCCUUCUCUGUUAGGGAAAGUGGUGCUGGGUAAUAAUAUUGGUUCAGUACAUCAUUCAUUAUUUUGUAGAUAAAACUAGAAGUGAGUCCUCCAUCCCACUGACUUUGGUUAGCUUGCCAUAUGAAGCUUCAGUGAUGGUGCGUUACAUCCAUCUCAGCUUCCCUACCAGGUAGUUUGUGCCCUCAAGGAAUUGAUCAUCAUAAUCUAGACUUGGUUGGUAGCAGGCUGGGGAAGGCUAGGAUUGGGAAACCAAUGGGCUUCAUUAAUUAAUGGGUUCAUUAGUUCAGUUUGUUUGUAAGUUACUAUUUUAUGAAUAUUAUAUGUCUCCCCAAUUGGACUGCAUAUUCCUUAAGGGCAGGAAUUUAUUUCUUAUCCCUCACUGUAGUUGCAAUAGUGAACACACACAAAACCCUCAUCAGUAUAUGCUCAGUGAUUAUCUGUAGAAGACUAUGUUGUAGGUAACACAUUGAACUGGUGCUGAAGAAUUAAUCCAAUUAACAAUGACCAUCAAGCCACUUCUUUUAUGCUAAUAAAACAUCAUAAUUUAAGGACUACACUGCAUUUUUUAAUUCCAUAAAUUAUAAUCCUUUAACAUAUAUGAAAGUUUCAUAUUCUUA
rnacentral:lncRNA from 10 species